GAGAUAUACAGCUGACAUUCUUGUCACACCUGAUACAGGACCUGUAAUGGAUACUGCCAUUAGUCACCGCAUGCCAGUUUGGCUGAGAGGUAACUAUCCUAGCCUGUCCCAUCUGCGCCAGACCUGCCCCUUGUUUUCAACAAGUCACUUCUCUGUAGGUCAGCACUGGAAUGAAAAUCAGUAUGUAGACUGGGUAUUCAUGAAGUCUGUGGCUGAACGUGAGCCCUGAGUUAAUGUGAUCGUCUACAUGUCAGCAGAGAAAGACCUUCAGUGGGUUACUGGAAUUCUGUGCAUUUGCAGAACAAAGAAACCCAGAUCCUGGUGUGGUAUCAAGUCCCAGCAGAAGUCUUGUGAUAGAAAUCAUAUAAUCUUUCACAAAUGACUGCAACAUGAGAGACAGAAAAGAAAGGAAAAAGCUUUAAUGAACAGACGAGCAGAAUGACAGUAGUGAAGGAGAAGACUCAGAUUACUUCAACAGGCUUUGAAUCAAGAUCUUCUGUUCUGUGGGGCUUUGAAUACAAGCUGAGCUCAGUAAGUGAUUUUGGCACAUGACAGCUCUGGCAUGCGGGAUCGGGCCCCUGUUGCUAAAGGAAAGAAUAUCACACACAGGUACCUUGAAAUCAUACACAGACAUCUUGUCUCUGCUUUUUUGUUCUUCAAAGCAACCUGUGCUAGCAGCAGACUGGGAUUCCACAGUGCAGUAGUUUCCAUGGCAAAAUGGAUUACGAAUGCUGCUAACACCACUUCUGUGGCUCCACUCCUCCUUCUCCUUCCCCUGACUUUUUAAAAUAAAAAACCUGGCAGGUAAAAUUCACCUCUGCUCAAUGAAAGUUUGACUCUCAGUCUACAAUUCACAUGUGCCUAUUCUGCAAAGGUAAUCCAGACAAACUGCAUGUAAGCGUCUUGCCCUCCUGGUACCUCUGUGGCUGAACUGGAAGGUCUCAAAUUGCACUGUUACAGUUGGAAGUCUAAGAAAUUACAUGAAAGACAAUGGAAAGCUUAGGACUCGUAGCUUACCAUCUGCACUGGAAGAGCAGAAAGACUAUGGUUAUUUCAAUUCCUACUUUUUAAACAUGCUAUCAUCUAACCUACCCAUCUAAUGAAAGGUAGGUAAGGGUAAACAUUGCCUUCUGUUGCAUGGCUUUGAGAUCUUGAUUGAAAUUCCUUCUGUAGCCUGCGCUUCUUGUAUUGACUGUGGACACACACUUAUUUCAGCACUCUACUCUCUCCAACUCUACAAUGUACCACAAAAACUUCAAAUAGAUAAAAGUUAUAAAAUCAUGGUUUCAUACCUCAGACUGUUAUGAAAUAUACAUUAUAAUCACUAAUGUGAAGGUAUCAGUCUCAGUUAAAAUAACUGAGUGUAAAAUGUCUUGUCUUUGAAAUGGUCCAGAUUCUUAUCGUUAAUGAAGCCAUGAAAUAAUUACUGGUUUGGGGAAUUUGUUGAGAAAGCUGUAGCCUGAAUUCGGUCUAGACUCAGAGAUUAAAUAAAUUGGUCUAUUGGGAGUUUUUGGUUUUGUUUUUCUUGGAAUCUUUUUUUUUGCAAUUCUGCACAGUUGAAAAGAAAAUUAAUAUUAUCUAUCAAGCAAAUAACUUUAUCCCAGUUGACUGUGUUGAACUAUUUCUUCACUGGAGAUGGAGAAGUAUAUCUUAGAUAUAUUCAAAUAUACUGGUAAACAGUGUUCCUACUCCAUUUAUGGCUUCUAUUUAUGUCAGUAUUUUAGCAUUUAUCCACCAAUCCUACUUAUGUUACCAUAUUCUGGGUGAGAUGAUCAAAUACCAGUGGCAAAUUUUCUAUACCACAGUGAAUUUUCUCUUUGAUGCCUUUGAAAAUCACCAAACUUUCAAUGAAUUUACUGAAUUAACUUUAAACACAUAUGACUACAAUUUUUUUUUUACUCUGAAUAUCAACUUGAAACUAUAUUUUUUUUUUGCUUACCUGUGUAAUAUCUUACCAAAAUCUCAGUCAGACUUCAGAGUAAAAUUUAGAUAUUCUGUAUAUAGUUAGAGAGCUAUGUAGUAAUUUAUGAGAGCUUUCCUUGCAAUGUUAAUGAGAGCAAAACUUCCUCUUCACUACCUAGAUGCCACCUACUUUAAAUAUUAGCUUAUCUCUGAUUAGAGAUCUAGAUUAGUUGUGUGUAUUUUUUACCUAUUAUGCCUGUUAUGCCUAUAUUUUUUCAAGUGUUAAGGGGAAUUGUAGCUAGCUUUGAGUUUUCCAUAUAUUCAAAAAUCCGUGCAGUUAUACCUGGUGCCUUAAUAAAUUACAUUCUGAUAUAAAGCUUUACAGACAAAAAAAUUUGUUAAAUGUAUCAGUUCAUUAUUUUACACUGUAAUCUUCAGUACUUUCUAAAUUAAAAUAAAUGAAAUCAGAAGAAAUACUGGACAUGUUU